rnacentral:rRNA from 1 species
AGUCACUGACAUUAGAUACCCUGUAGUCCAGGGUGUAAACGCUGCAGACUUGGUGUUGGAAGCCCGUUUGGGGCAUUCAGUGCCGGAGAGAAGUUGUUAAGUCUGCUACUUGGGAGUACGUCCGCAAGGAUGAAACUUAAAGGAAUUGGCGGGGAGCACCGCAACGGGAGGAGCGUGCGGUUUAAUUGGAUUCAACACCGUAAACUCACCAGGGAAGACUGUUACAUGAAGGCCGAGAUGAAGACUCUGCUAGAUUUUCAG